UGAUGUGAGGAUGAUCUCAUUAUUCGGUAGUGUUGAUUGAGCUGAUUUAGCUGACUAUGCGAGGUUCACUUCCUCUCUCACUGGUCCAUGCGUGUCCUUCCAGAAGCUGCAUGCUAGCUUAACCCCUUAAGGACCAAACUUCUGGAAUACAAGGGAAUUAUGACAUGUCAGACAUGUCAUGUGUCCUUAAGGGGUUAAAUAUGAUAUCAUAAUUAUUCGGUCCAGGGUUUAUAAGUAGAUGCAGUCAUUUGCUAGAAAUCCUUGGUGAAUCCUUGGUGUGCUCAUGUGCCCAGUGUGUGCAGGUACAUCCCAAUGCAAAGCCAAACUGAUUUCCCUGUUUCUGUUU